rnacentral:rRNA from 1 species
GACGAACGCUGGCGGCGUGCUUAACACAUGCAAGUCGAACGAAGCGCGAUGGUAGCUUGCUUCUCUCAAUCUUAGUGGCGAACGGGUGAGUAACGCGUUAUCAACCUGCCCUUCAGAGGGGGACAACAGUUGGAAACGACUGCUAAUCCCGCAUACGAUCUCAUCUCGGUAUCGAGGAUAUAUGUAAGGUAGCCUCUACAGGUAAGCUCUCCCUUAAGGAGGGGCUUUCGUCUGAUUAGCUCGUUGGUGGGGUAACGGCCAACCAAGGCGAUGAUCAGUAGAAGGUCUGAGAGGAUGAAAGGCCACGUUGGGACGGAGACACGGCCCAGAAUCCUACGAGAGGCAGAAGGGGGGAAUCUUCCGGAAUGGAAGAAAGUCUGACGGAGCAACGCCGCGGGAGUGAUGACGGCCGUAGGGUUGUAAAGCUCAGGUAGUCGGGAGGAAAGGCCUUCUUGCGAACAGUUAGAAGGAUUGACGGUACCGGAAGAGAAAGCCACGGCUAACUACGUG